rnacentral:rRNA from 1 species
UUGCCAGACUCCUACGGGAGGCAGCAGUGGGGAAUAUUGGGCAAUGGGCGCAAGCCUGACCCAGCAACGCCGCGUGAAGGAAGAAGGCUUUCGGGUUGUAAACUUCUUUUGUCAGGGACGAAGCAAGUGACGGUACCUGACGAAUAAGCCACGGCUAACUACGUGCCAGCAGCCGCGGUAAUACGUAGGUGGCAAGCGUUAUCCGGAUUUACUGGGUGUAAAGGGCGUGUAGGCGGGACUGCAAGUCAGAUGUGAAAAUUAUGGGCUCAACCCAUAACCUGCAUUUGAAACUGUAGUUCUUGAGUGAUGGAGAGGCAGGCGGAAUUCCUAGUGUAGCGGUGAAAUGCGUAGAUAUUAGGAGGAACACCAGUGGCGAAGGCGGCCUGCUGGACGACAACUGACGGUGAGGCGCGAAAGCGUGGGGAGCAAACAGGAUUAGAUACCCUUGUA